rnacentral:rRNA from 1 species
UACAGAGGUCUCACCCGUUGUUCGGAUUCAUUGGGCGUAAAGGGUGCGUAGGCGGUCGCGCAAGUCGGAUGUGAAAUCUCAGGGCUCAACCCUGAAACUGCAUUCGAUACUGCGUGGCUCGAGUGCUGGAGAGGAGACUGGAAUUUACGGUGUAGCAGUGAAAUGCGUAGAUAUCGUAAGGAAGACCAGUGGCGAAGGCGAGUCUCUGGACAGCAACUGACGCUGAGGCACGAAGGCCAGGGGAGCAAACGGG